rnacentral:rRNA from 2 species
AGCAGCCGCGGUAAUUCCAGCUCCAAUAGCGUAUAUUAAAGUUGCUGCAGUUAAAAAGCUCGUAGUUGAAUUUCGGGACCAAUAUGUCGGUCGUGCCUCGGUACGUACUGGCAUCGUUGGUUUCUCCUUUCUGAAGAACCAUGAUGUCAUUUAUUUGGUGUCGUGGGGAAUCAGGACUGUUACUUUGAAAAAAUUAGAGUGUUUAAAGCAGGCUCACGCUUGAAUACAUUAGCAUGGAAUAAUGAAAUAGGACGUUUGAUUCUAUUUUGUUGGUUUCUAGGAUCGACGUAAUGAUUAAUAGGGAUAGUUGGGGGCAUUAGUAUUCAAUUGUCAGAGGUGAAAUUCUUGGAUUUAUUGAAGACUAACUACUGCGAAAGCAUUUGCCAAGGAUGUUUUCAUUAAUCAAGAACGAAAGUUAGGGGAUCGAAGACGAUCAGAUACCGUCGUAGU